UACGAAGGGUGCUAGCGUUGCUCGGAAUUACUGGGCGUAAAGGGCGCGUAGGCGGAUAGUUUAGUCAGAGGUAACAGCCCAGGGCUCAACCUUGGAACUGCCUUUGAUACUGGCGAUCUUGAGUACGGGAGAGGUGUGUGGAACUCCGAGUGUAGAGGUGAAAUGCGUAGAUAUGCGGAGGAACACCAGUGGCGAAGGCGGCACACUGGCCCGUUACUGACGCUGAGGCGCGAAAGCGUGGGGAGCAAACAGG
rnacentral:rRNA from 1 species